CCCUGUUCAGCAGGUGGUACGAUCCACUGCCAUCAGUCCAGUCAGCAGUCCUGCAGGUCAGCAUGCAGACAGAAUGAAACCUGGAGGAUCUCACCUGUUUCUCCGGCGACAGACCGGAGACGGCCAUGUAGGUGCUGCCGAUCGUCUUGAUCUUCUCGAUGUCCUGGAAGCGAUCCUCACCGAGCAGCUGUGACACAGAGAUUCAGACAGAGAGAGAGUAACUUUUCUGUCCCCGCCACUGUUCUGAGACACAGAAUGAGAGAAAAAGAAAAAAGCCAUCUUCAGCUCUUCCUCCGCCUGACUCGGCGUCUCUCUCAGGAUUCCCAGAUUCCUGACGGAGAGACGAGAACGUUCUGGGGGAGGAGAUGGAUGCUUUCAUUUAAAAACAGAGGACGUCUGAAAGUUGAAGCGGGUCCACCUCAGCUGCAGUCUCACCUCGUCAAAGUCAGCGAUAAUUUCGUUGAGCAGCCUCAGGCACUCCAC